CCUCGGCAUUCAACUAAGUUCAGUUCAAACAAAGAGAAAAAGUCAAAUGACUUGAAAAAAAUGAAAACGUCACAAAAACAACAUAAGUCAAUGAAACUGUACCUUUCCCAAAAUCGACAUCAUAUGGAGAAUGGAACGAUAGACAUAAAUGGUUGUUGUGAUACAACACUCAUUGUGCUCAUUUUACCUAGGAAACUCUUCUCACAAUCACUCCAGCUACCGAUAAGUAGGGGAGCUGAAUUCCUUCGGGGAGGAAGUAGAGCUGAGAUCAUUGCCAUGGAUGGAGGAGACUUGCAGGAGUCCAGAAGCAUCUAAGAUCGACUCAUUACGAG
rnacentral:lncRNA from 1 species